rnacentral:tRNA from 2 species
GCCCCCGUAGCUCAGGGGAUAGAGCACGAACCUCCUAAGUUCGGUGUCGCAGGUUCGAGUCCUGCCGGGGGCGCCA